UGGCUGUCGUCAGCUCGUGCCGUGAGGUGUUGGGUUAAGUCCCGCAACGAGCGCAACCCCUAUCUUCAGUUGCCAGCACAUUAUGGUGGGGACUCUGGAGAGACUGCCUUCGCAAGAAGCGAGGAAGGCGGGGACGACGUCAAGUCAUCAUGGCCCUUACGCCUAGGGCUACACACGUGCUACAAUGGCGCAUACAGAGGGUAGCCAGCCAGCGAUGGUGAGCCAAUCCCAAAAAGUGCGUCUCAGUUCGGAUCGGAGUCUGCAACUCGACUCCGUGAAGCCGGAAUCGCUAGUAAUCGCGUAUCAGCAACGACGCGGUGAAUACGUUCCCGGGCCUUGUACACACCGCCCGUCAAGCCAUGGAAGUCAGGGAGACCUGAAGCCGGUGACCGUCAAAGGAGCCGUCUAGGGUAAAACUGGUAACUGGGGCUAAGUCGUAACAAGGUAGCCGUACCGGAAGGUGCGGCUGGAUCACCUCCUUUCUAGGGAAGACCGCCGGCCCGUACACUUACUCUCUUUAAUAUACUUACCGCCUGCCUCGGGCAUCGAUCAAAACCCAUAUUUAGUGACGCGGGCACAGCGGCCCGGAAAGCGGGCUUGUAGCUCAGGUGGUUAGAGCGCUACACUGAUAAUGUAGAGGUCCGUGGUUCGAGUCCACGCAGGCCCACUAACACGAAUGAGUGGAUAAGUGAAUGAGCGAGUGACUGGAUGCAUUGUUCAGUGAUUCAAGAUUCAGGCAUUCAGUCAUUGGAUUACCUGGGGGAUUAGCUCAGCUGGCUAGAGCGCCUGCUUUGCACGCAGGAGGUCAACGGUUCGACUCCGUUAUUCUCCACACUUAACACAACCAAGUCAGAACGGCAGGUUUUGACUUCACAUCUUGAAGAGCAUUCACAGCGCAGGUCUAAGGUCUUGUGUCUAGUGUCUGACGUCUUGAAGAGCAAGUUCUUUGACAUGAUGGGAGAGAGAGAAAGAAAAUAAUUGACUAGGCCGUAGCGAUACGGCCCUAGUGCGAGAAGAGGCGGGCCUGUCCAGCAAUGGACGGGCCGAAGACGCAGAGAAGGGCGCACGGUGGAUGCCUUGGCA
rnacentral:sRNA from 1 species